rnacentral:tRNA from 1 species
GCGCCAGUGUUGUAGGGGUAUCAUGCAAGAUUCCCAUUCUUGCGACUCGGGUUCGAUUCCCGGCUGGCGCA